UCUGUGGGCCAAACACCAGAAUUAAGACAUUUUGUUCAGUGAUGGACUGAUGAAUCCUCAUGGUACACACUGCAAGAAAAUCAUCGUUAUUGAUCUUCACAAAUUAAGAAGAAAAAAAAGUGUGUUUCCCACGAUGUCCCUUGAAAGAAAUACCACAAUGGGCCAGUCCACUGCUCAGAUGGGCCACGGGGACAUCUGGGCAGAAAGCAAGCUUGCUAAAGGAAGAGUCUGAACUGAACAAGUUUGUGACGAUGAGGGAGUCUUAGUUCUUAUUCCUUUUUGUCCACGUUUCCAGAAUUUCUUAACAAGCGUCUCUUCACAGACCUAUGGCAAAAUCACUCACAACUUCACAACUGUAUAUUCUCAACCUGCACUUUGGGGAAGCAAGUGGCACAUGGCAGCCGUGUGUGCCAGGUGUGGGGAAGGACCGCGCAUCACCGCCCGUCAGAGCUCGAGGGCUCGGUGCGCUCACAGCCAUCUUACAGCUCUCCAGUUUUCUGGAUCUCAUCACACCUGCAAGGCAAAACUCAUGAAUGCAUCAGCAUAAGGUUGCCAUCUGGUAAGAUUUCACUCUUGGGCUGGUAUGCUGGGGCUCAGCUGCUGCAGGAACCCCCCCCCCCCCGCCCCCCGCAACCGCCCUGGGAGCUGGAGUUCAUCACAAAUGAUCCGAGGCCAGGAAGGGAGCCAGACCGAGCCAGGCGGUGGGAGGGGAGCAGUGCAGUCUGGCAUGAACGGGGCAGUGAUGGCCUUCAAGCAAGGGAGUUACUGACUCAGGAUCCAAACGUGACCAGGGACCCCAGGCGGGCCAUCGUCUCUCUCCCCGACUCAGCUCACUCCCUGCCUUCUGGGUUCGAUGCCACCUGGAGACUAUGGUCCCACCCAGUCAGUACAUGGAGGAGUUAGAAGGAAUAAAAGGACGAGAGAGGAGGGACAAGCAAGGCCAAGGGCGGAUCUGUGAAUCUGCACCUGCCCCCAACACGUCCUCUCAAAGCUGACAAAUCACCAAGGACUACAGACAGAGCCAAGCGAUCCCCACGCUGCCACAGAAUAGGACGGCAGGGAGCACCGCUGACCCCUUUUCCUUGCUCCGGCCCAGAGGAGACACACCCACUUCUCUUCCCGCAGAGACUUCCUGCUCAUGCAGACCUGGUCUCCGCAGGGAGCAAGUAGAUCUAGAAGAAUACCACAUACAAGAGAGAGAAGUGCCAACGCUGCCCCCAGAAAAAGUCCAUUCUGUGGCAGGAAUACGCAAGAGUCCCGGCGGAGGGGAAGCACAGCCCUGGAGAACGAACUUGAAAAUGCACGUGGGACAUAAGGGGGCAGAACGGCCCCACUCCUGGAAGGCACCUUUUGGAAACUGAACAGUGAACAGAAAAAGCGAGCAGGUGAAGUUCAGUAUCUGACAAGACAAAAACGUAUCAAGGACACACAGGCUUGGCCUAACUACAUCCCUGUACAAAGAAAACCCACAAGAAACAAACCAAACCCAUCCAGUAAGGACUCCUCUCGAGACACUGGGGAGGAGGGAGUCCCGAAGCAGGGCCCUCACUGCAGCCGGGCCGCCAAGCCCUGUAGGUGAAGUGCUCCAGCGAUCCAUGAACACAACUACUCCAGGGAGGAGGCAGAGACAGGCUGGACACCAGCGAUUGAAGACGCUAGUUCCCCAAACCACCGACAUAAAGGAGGAGGACCGGGGACUGGCUCUGGAGGGCCCGCCCUUCUGGCUCCCUGAGAUCUAACCAUGACUGAGCAGGAGGAAAUCUACAGGGAAUGAGGAGCAAAGGAGCAUCUAUGCAGGCCUAGCCACACGGCCUCGCCAGCAGAGGAACAACCUGGUCAUCAGCCACAGGCUCCCAGCAGUGCCCACCACCAUCAGCCAGAAAGGAAUCAUGCUGAAUCGACCAACACCUUCUACUCCCGAUUAGUGCUCUAGAGGGAGAACUCAGAGUUGAUUUCCAGAGUUUGAUUGCUGCAUGUGAUUAUGAAAGACAAAACUGUUUUUAGGAAAUACAUACUAAAGUACUGAGGGGGAAAAAGGGCAUUAUGUCAGCAACUUACUUUCAAAUGGUUCUAAAAAGAUAAUAUGUAUAUAAAGAGAGACUAAAUAAAGAAAACGAGAUGAAAUGUUAA